rnacentral:rRNA from 1 species
AGCGUACACGGUGGAUGCCCUGGCAGUCAGAGGCGAUGAAGGACGUGCUAAUCUGCGAUAAGCGUCGGUAAGGUGAUAUGAACCGUUAUAACCGGCGAUUUCCGAAUGGGGAAACCCAGUGUGAUUCGUCACACUAUCAUUAACUGAAUCCAUAGGUUAAUGAGGCGAACCGGGGGAACUGAAACAUCUAAGUACCCCGAGGAAAAGAAAUCAACCGAGAUUCCCCCAGUAGCGGCGAGCGAACGGGGAGCAGCCCAGAGCCUGAAUCAGUGUGUGUGUUAGUGGAAGCGUCUGGAAAGGCGCGCGAUACAGGGUGACAGCCCCGUACACAAAAAUGCACAUAUUGUGAGCUCGAUGAGUAGGGCGGGACACGUGGUAUCCUGUCUGAAUAUGGGGGGACCAUCCUCCAAGGCUAAAUACUCCUGACUGACCGAUAGUGAACCAGUACCGUGAGGGAAAGGCGAAAAGAACCCCGGCGAGGGGAGUGAAAAAGAACCUGAAACCGUGUACGUACAAGCAGUGGGAGCACGCUUAGGCGUGUGACUGCGUACCUUUUGUAUAAUGGGUCAGCGACUUAUAUUCUGUAGCAAGGUUAACCGAAUAGGGGAGCCGAAGGGAAACCGAGUCUUAACUGGGCGUUAAGUUGCAGGGUAUAGACCCGAAACCCGGUGAUCUAGCCAUGGGCAGGUUGAAGGUUGGGUAACACUAACUGGAGGACCGAACCGACUAAUGUUGAAAAAUUAGCGGAUGACUUGUGGCUGGGGGUGAAAGGCCAAUCAAACCGGGAGAUAGCUGGUUCUCCCCGAAAGCUAUUUAGGUAGCGCCUCGUGAAUUCAUCUCCGGGGGUAGAGCACUGUUUCGGCAAGGGGGUCAUCCCGACUUACCAACCCGAUGCAAACUGCGAAUACCGGAGAAUGUUAUCACGGGAGACACACGGCGGGUGCUAACGUCCGUCGUGAAGAGGGAAACAACCCAGACCGCCAGCUAAGGUCCCAAAGUCAUGGUUAAGUGGGAAACGAUGUGGGAAGGCCCAGACAGCCAGGAUGUUGGCUUAGAAGCAGCCAUCAUUUAAAGAAAGCGUAAUAGCUCACUGGUCGAGUCGGCCUGCGCGGAAGAUGUAACGGGGCUAAACCAUGCACCGAAGCUGCGGCAGCGACGCUUAUGCGUUGUUGGGUAGGGGAGCGUUCUGUAAGCCUGUGAAGGUGUACUGUGAGGUAUGCUGGAGGUAUCAGAAGUGCGAAUGCUGACAUAAGUAACGAUAAAGCGGGUGAAAAGCCCGCUCGCCGGAAGACCAAGGGUUCCUGUCCAACGUUAAUCGGGGCAGGGUGAGUCGACCCCUAAGGCGAGGCCGAAAGGCGUAGUCGAUGGGAAACAGGUUAAUAUUCCUGUACUUGGUGUUACUGCGAAGGGGGGACGGAGAAGGCUAUGUUGGCCGGGCGACGGUUGUCCCGGUUUAAGCGUGUAGGCUGGUUUUCCAGGCAAAUCCGGAAAAUCAAGGCUGAGGCGUGAUGACGAGGCACUACGGUGCUGAAGCAACAAAUGCCCUGCUUCCAGGAAAAGCCUCUAAGCAUCAGGUAACAUCAAAUCGUACCCCAAACCGACACAGGUGGUCAGGUAGAGAAUACCAAGGCGCUUGAGAGAACUCGGGUGAAGGAACUAGGCAAAAUGGUGCCGUAACUUCGGGAGAAGGCACGCUGAUAUGUAGGUGAAGUCCCUCGCGGAUGGAGCUGAAAUCAGUCGAAGAUACCAGCUGGCUGCAACUGUUUAUUAAAAACACAGCACUGUGCAAACACGAAAGUGGACGUAUACGGUGUGACGCCUGCCCGGUGCCGGAAGGUUAAUUGAUGGGGUCAGCGCAAGCGAAGCUCUUGAUCGAAGCCCCGGUAAACGGCGGCCGUAACUAUAACGGUCCUAAGGUAGCGAAAUUCCUUGUCGGGUAAGUUCCGACCUGCACGAAUGGCGUAAUGAUGGCCAGGCUGUCUCCACCCGAGACUCAGUGAAAUUGAACUCGCUGUGAAGAUGCAGUGUACCCGCGGCAAGACGGAAAGACCCCGUGAACCUUUACUAUAGCUUGACACUGAACAUUGAGCCUUGAUGUGUAGGAUAGGUGGGAGGCUUUGAAGUGUGGACGCCAGUCUGCAUGGAGCCGACCUUGAAAUACCACCCUUUAAUGUUUGAUGUUCUAACGUUGACCCGUAAUCCGGGUUGCGGACAGUGUCUGGUGGGUAGUUUGACUGGGGCGGUCUCCUCCUAAAGAGUAACGGAGGAGCACGAAGGUUGGCUAAUCCUGGUCGGACAUCAGGAGGUUAGUGCAAUGGCAUAAGCCAGCUUGACUGCGAGCGUGACGGCGCGAGCAGGUGCGAAAGCAGGUCAUAGUGAUCCGGUGGUUCUGAAUGGAAGGGCCAUCGCUCAACGGAUAAAAGGUACUCCGGGGAUAACAGGCUGAUACCGCCCAAGAGUUCAUAUCGACGGCGGUGUUUGGCACCUCGAUGUCGGCUCAUCACAUCCUGGGGCUGAAGUAGGUCCCAAGGGUAUGGCUGUUCGCCAUUUAAAGUGGUACGCGAGCUGGGUUUAGAACGUCGUGAGACAGUUCGGUCCCUAUCUGCCGUGGGCGCUGGAGAACUGAGGGGGGCUGCUCCUAGUACGAGAGGACCGGAGUGGACGCAUCACUGGUGUUCGGGUUGUCAUGCCAAUGGCACUGCCCGGUAGCUAAAUGCGGAAGAGAUAAGUGCUGAAAGCAUCUAAGCACGAAACUUGCCCCGAGAUGAGUUCUCCCUGACUCCUUGA